rnacentral:rRNA from 1 species
GACGAACCGGACGAACGUUAUUCGGAAUUACUGGGCUUAAAGGGUGCGUAGGCGGCCGAGUUAGUCGGGUGUGAAAUCCCUCGGCUCAACCGAGGAAUGGCGCCCGAUACUGCUUGGCUCGAGGAAGACAGAGGUGAGCGGAACUGAUGGUGGAGCGGUGAAAUGCGUUGAUAUCAUCAGGAACACCAGGGGCGAAAGCGGCUCACUGGGUCUUUUCUGACGCUGAGGCACGAAAGCUAGGGGAGCGAACGGG